GUGGAUUUUUGAGAGGGCCUUGUGUGUGAUGGGCCAGAUGAGGGGAAGCAGAGAGGAGGACAGUGGUGGCAGUCUCCAGUGAACUGGGGAACUGGGAAGCUUUGCCGUCACAUCUUUAUGAAGCAUUUUAUCUUUGGAUACUGGAGCCUCUGGAAGGAAGGGUUUUUUUGUUUUGUUUUUUAUUUUUUUGUUUUUGUUUGUUUGUUUGUUUGUUUUUGAGACGGAGUCUCGCUCUGUCACCCAGGCUGGAGUGCAGUGACGCGAUCUUGGCUCACUGCAAGCUCUACCUCCUGGAUUCACGCCAUUCUCCUGCCUCAGCCUCCCGAGUAGUAGCUGGGAAUGCAGGUGCCCGCCACCAAGCCCGGCUAAUUUUUUGUAUUUUUAGUAGAGAUGGGGUUUCACCGUGUUAGCCAGGAUGGUCUCGAUCUCCUGACCUCAUGAUCUGCCCGCCUCGGCCUCCCAAAGUGCUGGGAUUACAGGCGUGAGCCACUGCGCCCAGCCAGAAGGAAGGGUUUUUAAGCAAGGGAGUGAUGUGAUCAGAGUUGUGUUUUAGGAAGAGAAUACUGCCAACAAUGUUAAGAAAUGGAUUAGAGAGAAGCAAGACUCCUGGCACCUGUGUUUGCUCUGUUUGUACCAUUUUACUGCUCCAUACCAAGAGUCCAAGUGGCACAAAUUCUGGGCCCGUUGUCCAUCACAAACAAGACUUUGAUUUAUAUAUUGGGACUGCAGCUUUUCACCUCUGGUUCCUACAUCUGGAUUGUAGCCAUAAGUGGACUUAUGUCCGGUCUGUGCUACGACAGCAAAAUGUUCCAGGUGCAUCAGGUGCUCUGCAUCCCCAGCUGGAUGGCAAAAUUCUUUUCUUGGACACUUGAACCCAUCUUCUCUUCUUCAGAACCCACCAGCGAAGCCAGAAUUGGAAUGGGAGCCACGCUGGACAUCCAGAGACAGCAGAGAAUGGAGCUGCUGGACCGGCAGCUGAUGUUCUCUCAGUUUGCACAAGGGAGGCGACAGAGACAGCAGCAGGGAGGAAUGAUCAAUUGGAAUCGUCUUUUUCCUCCUUUACGUCAGCGACAAAACAUAAACUAUCAGGGCGGUCGGCAGUCUGAGCCAGCAGCGCCCCCUCCUCUAGAAGUUUCUGAGGAACAGGUCGCCCGGCUCAUGGAGAUGGGAUUUUCCAGAGGUGAUGCUUUGGAAGCCCUGAGGGCUUCAAACAAUGACCUCAAUGUCGCCACCAACUUCCUGCUGCAGCACUGAUAGUCCCAGGCCAACACUGGGACCGGACCGGCAGCCGAGUGACAGUGCGUGGUCCCCACCAUCAGAUUAGCCCGGGGACCGAGCACCUCUGGUGCUGAUGUUCUUGUGGGAAGAGGGAGGUUCCACCGCACCCCUGCCCUCAACCGCAAGACUGUUGCCGUUUUCGUGUGGAGAUAAGUUUGCCAUUACAUUAGCAUGUAUUUUCUAUCUAUAUUUUUUAUUGGGCAUUUUCCCUAGGUUGGAGAGUCAUCACUCGUUUUGAAUGUGUUUAAAAUGCAUUAAAAUGGAAGAUUUCUGCAGGCAGUUGAAUGGCACUCCAGAUGGGGAAUUGCUGUAACCCUCUUACUGUAACAUGUCAUCUCCUGCGUCGUGAUGGGGAGAGGGUAAUGUUAUUUCACAAAGGACAUGUCAGAUCCUUCUUCAUGGACUUUUUUAGUUACUGUUUUUUCUCUCCAACUUGUUUUCUAAUCUCCUGGGAUUGAGGGAUAAACGGGGAGCUGAAUCCUCCCCCGAGCUGUUCCAGGCCAGAGGACUCUGCAGUACCUUCUCCUACAUCUAGUAACAAAGAAUGGUGAUAACCAUGCACUGGUUCAAGGUUCUGGAGUUCUCCAUGAAACUUGGGUUAAUUUUGCUCAGAGUAUCCAGAGUUAGCCACUAGGCUGCGGGUGAAAUGGGAUGGAGAAGAAGAACAGCAGGCUUUCUGGAGCCACAUGGGCUGACUAGGGCACUCUGUGGCUGGCCUGGCACGGGCUCAGCCCAGGAAGAGGAGAAAUGAUCCCUUGCCUGCCACUCCCUGUGGCAGGGCUAACUGCCUGGCCCUCCUGGCUCGCAGCCAGCCAGCCCCCUGGCAGCAGGUUCUCCUCAGGGCUUGGGUCUUCAACCUCUGGCGACAGGAGGCAGGGCAGACUGUGGAGGACAGGAUGCAGGUCAGGGAGAGGGAAGGCAGGGGUGGACCGUCAUGAGCAUGAAAAGACCCGAAGCAAGUUGACUCUUGCAAUGUGCAACUGUUAUGUUCUGCAAAAUGAGCAACGAUGUAUCAAAUUGAUGCAAAUUUAGAUGUUGAUACUUACAAUAAAGUUUUUAAUGUGUUUUACUCUUC
rnacentral:sRNA from 1 species